UACAGGGGGGGGCAAGCUUGUUCGGAAUUACUGGGCGUAAAGGGUUCGUAGGUGGCCACUUAAGUCAGACGUGAAAUCCCUCAGCUUAACUGGGGAACUGCGUCUGAUACUGGGUGGCUUGAGUGCAGGAGAGGGAUGCGGAAUUCCAGGUGUAGCGGUGAAAAUGCGUAGAUAUCUGGAGGAACACCGGUGGCGAAGGCGGCAUCCUGGACCGGCAUUGACGCUGAGGAGCGAAAAGCCAGGGGAGCAAACGGG
rnacentral:rRNA from 1 species